GUGAAUGGCACCUGGGCCCACAGCUCCGUGCUCCGCUUCACGCCCGGCCUGGGGGACCACGGCAAAGAGCUCAUCUGCAACGUCACGUACAGCUCAGCACAGGGACCUUCCACCCGCAGAACCAUCCAGCUCCGCGUGGGCUCUCCCACAGGUGGCCUCACUUGGGCAUUUAUCGAAAUCAGCUGCAAACUCGUCUUCGUGGCAACUGGAUUCAUCCUGGCCUAUUACCUCACCCUGCUCUAUUACAGACGGACACCCUGCUGCUGUCGUGGAAGCAGAAGGAAGGACAGGCCGGGGGCCAGGGAAUCCAUUGUGCCCGAGUCCGGUGUGUAGAUCGGGACGUUCCUCAGCCACCGAAGAGCUGACAAGGAAUUGGAAUCUCAGAGGACUUAGGAAACAGAGAAUGAGACCUCAGCUGGGGGAACUGCCACCCUGGGAGAGGCCAACAGGCCCAUCUAGUCUGAUAUCCUGCCCCCUCAGACCCAUGCGUGUGGGAAGCACAUGGAAGCUGCUUGUAAUGUUUAUAUGACCAGUAGAUGAUCUGUUUGUUGCCUUGAUUAUUAUGACUUUGUUGGCUCUGUGAUGACCGCCAGGCACCCAGAUACCCCGGUGACAAACACAGUAGGAGACCCUCUAGAGAACAGAGCAGCCCGGCUGAUGCUAGUUACUGAUCCCUGCAAGACAACGCCCAACCCAGCAGCUCUAACGGCCGCUCCCAGGCAGUGCGGGGAGAAAGUUUCACCGACAAACUUUUUUUUGGGUGCAAAAUGCAAAUUCGGCAACACCAAACUUUGUGUAAAUCUGGGACGAUUUUGCCAAUUUGUUUGUUUGGGGGGGGAAACCUCCCAAAAUUCCUCGAAAUUGAAAGAUUUCAUUUAGGCAUUUUCAAAAAGAAACGUUUCACUUUCUCAGUUCAAACACACUGUAUGGUUUGAAAUUUCCUGUAAUUUUACUUUGUAGUUAAAAAACGUCUAAAAUGCUUAAAAUCGAAACAAAAUGUUUCAUCCUCAAACCAAAUCUAUUUCUGACCUUCUGAUUCGCAGAAAAUUUUGACCAAUUUCCAUUUUUGGUUUUACAUUAAAAGAUUUUUUCCUGCUGACUUUGGGUUCC